rnacentral:lncRNA from 1 species
AUUGUGUAUAUCCCAAAUCCUAAUUCAUGUCUAUAUGGAUAUUCAUAUAAUCUAUUCAACAGUAUGCAACAUAGUCACCAUUAUAAGUACCCUCACAGUUUAUAAAAUGCAUACAAUACGCAAUAAAAAGAUAACUGUAAAGAAGCACACAGGUGUUUGAGCUGAUUCAUUUCACAAUAAAUUAAAACAAUAUGAUGCAGUAUUG